AUUGAACGCUGGCGGCAGGCCUACCACAUGCAAGUCGAGCGAGCGGCGGACGGGUGAGUAAUGUAUGUGGCCUGCCCGAUCGAGGGGGAUAACUACUGGAAACGGUGGCUAAUACCGUAUCCUAUAGGAUAACCCAUUUGGGAUUAGCUAGUAGGUGGGGUAAAGGCUCACCUAGGCGACGCUCUCUAGCUGGUCUGAGAGGUUGAUCAGCAACACUGGGACUGCGAUACGGCCCAGACUCCUACGGAGGCAGCAGUGGGGAAGAUGGCACAAUGGGCGCAAGCCUGAUGCAGCCAUGCCGCGUGUAUGAAGAAGGCCUUAGGGUUGUAAAGUACUUUCAGCGGGGAGGCGUUACCCGCAGAAGAAGCACCGGCUAACUCCGUGCCAGCAGCCGCGGUAAUAC
rnacentral:rRNA from 1 species